AUGGUCGACGCGGGUCAAAGUGUAGUAUCGGUUCUUAUCAGCUAUUCAUAUCGGAUACGGGUUGUAUUUGAACCCACAUAUUAAACUUAUUUUUGCAAGUUGGCGGACUCUUUGAAGCCUGCUUCCCCUCCACCGCAGGUCGGCCCGGUAUUGCACUAUCUUCGGGAUUUAUGGUCUACGGACA